AUGUCCGGGGACGAGUCGGAUGGGAAGAACAAGGGCGGCACGAGGUCGCCGUCGAAGACGCCCACAUCCAAGGCACCACUCGCGUGCCUCUCUGGCAGCGGCAGCGGCGAGUACCGCGUUGUGGAGUGCAUCGUGCGAGAGGAGUCAGGGUCGUCCAUGAUGCUCACGCGCACGAACUACCAGGAGUGGGUGCUGGUGAUGCAAGUUAAGUUGCAGGUCGCCCGCGUCUGGACUGCGGUGACCGACGACGCCGCCGACGAGGACGACGACCGGCGCGCGCUGCAGAUCAUCCUCACCGGCGUCCCGCCGGAGAUGCUGCGCGUGCUGGCCGCGAAGGACACGGCGAAGAUGGUGUGGGAGACAAUCAAGACCAUGCGGAUGAGCAGCGAGCGCGCCCGCGAGGCCAAGGCGCAAGUGCGCCGGCGGGAGUUCGAGGAUCUCCGCUUCGAAGACGGGGAGUCCGUCGAGGACUUCGGGCUGCGUCUCGCUGCCCUCGUCGCCGAUCUGGAGCUAUACGGUGACCCCGUCACCGAGCACAAGGCCGUUCAAAAGUUUCUCCGAGUGGAUUACUAUGACCUCGACGACGCCAAGCAGUCCACCGGCCAGCUCAUGUACACCGCCGAAGAGUGGGCCGCUCGCGAGCACAAGUACGGUGGCGGAUCAUCGUCGGUCGGCAGCGGCGGAAAGGGCAAGUUACCAGGCAAGUCGUCAGCCAAGGGCGGCGGCGGUGGCGGGAAGCCAGCGUCCGGCAACAGCGGCGCUGGCGGCGGCAAGAAGAAGGGCAAAUGCCAUUAUUGCGGCAAGGCUAACCUCGUCCGCGAAGAUCGCGACGAACACGAUCAGGGCCUGCUCAUGGCCGUGGUCACCAACGUCUCUACACCUGAGCUAGUGACGCCCCAAGCUGUGUUCUUGAAUGAGGAGAAAGUAAUUCCCAUGCCUUCACCCGAUGGCCUUUGGUACUAUGAUACAGGGGCGUCCAGCCAUAUGACUGGGGAGAGGAACAUGUUUUCUACACUUGAUGAAGGUUUACACGGCACAGUGAAAUUCGGAGACGGCUCUCUGGUGGCUAUCAAGGGCAGGGGCGCCGUUGUGUUUCGCUGCCAGAAUGGUGAUCAACGUGCUCUCUCUGAAGUCUAUUACAUUCCCAGCUUACGCAGCAAUAUCAUCUCAGUAGGGCAGUUGGAUGAGGGUGGAUGCAGGAUAGGGAUUGAAGAUGGGAUCAUGACCAUCCAAGAUCCGGGCCGGCGCAUCCUGGCUCGCGUCAAACGGACGACACUACACCAUGAUAAAACCGCUCUCCCUCCCUUGUCAGCCGCCGCACUACAUCUCGCCGUCGACUCCGCCAACCCUAGCGCCCUCGCCGACUCACUCCCAUCCUUGCCCGCCCCGCUCGGCACCGCCGCCUCCAUUCCCUUCGUCACCCACCCAUCGCCCGACGCCCCUGCAUCCUCCAUCCAUGCCUCCACCCAGCCGUGCCGCCACCCAAUCUCCAUCGACGACCCCCCACACACUCGCACCUCCGACUCACGCCGCUGCCCAUCCCCAUCCACACCACACCCGGAUCCCACUCCCAGAGCCGCCGCCGCGCAUUCCCCAACCAGCAGGCACCCCAUCUUCGUCCAUGCCGCACCAGUAUCCCCCAAUCCAGCGUUGGUGCCCCAUUCGCCGACCAUGACACCGCCCCAUCCCCUCCUUAUCACCCUAAACGUCGUCCCGAUCCCCAACAACAACACCUCCCCAUCCCACUCGCCACCCCCGUCACCUGCUUUGCCUCGCACUACAGCACAGCCAGCAGCAACAACAACAAUCUCAGAUUCGCACAUAGAGGCUGCCACUAAGCUUUGUUCUCCAUUCGUGCUUGGUCUUUACAGUAUAUCAGUUGCCAUUUCCUGGUCAUAUCUUGCACAAGUAAGGCUAAUCGGCAUAAACUCAACUUUAAAGACAAGUUUUAAGGUCUUGGUUGGCAAGUGA
rnacentral:rRNA from 1 species